GUAAGCAUGGUGCAUUGGCUUGAGCAUUGGACUAUGACUCUGGAGACCAAGGUUCAAAUCCUUGCUCAUUCA